UACGGGGGGAGCAAGCGUUGUUCGGAUUUACUGGGCGUAAAGGGCGCGUAGGCGGCUUUGUAAGUUAGAGGUGAAAGCCCGGGGCUCAACCCCGGAAUUGCCUUCAAUACUGCCGGGCUCGAGGACUGUAGAGGAGAAUGGAAUUCACGGUGUAGCAGUGAAAUGCGUAGAUAUCGUGAGGAAGACCAGUGGCGAAGGCGAUUCUCUGGGCAGUUCCUGACACUGAGGCACGAAGGCCAGGGGAGCAAACGGG
rnacentral:rRNA from 1 species